AUCCGGUUGAUGAGUCCCAAAUAGUAUGAGACGCGCGUCCUGGAU
rfam:Schistosoma haematobium scaffold2556_9, whole genome shotgun sequence.